rnacentral:rRNA from 1 species
UACGUAGGGUGCAAGCGUUGUCCGGAAUUAUUGGGCGUAAAGAGCUCGUAGGCGGUCUGUUGCGUCGGCUGUGAAAACCCGGGGCUCAACCCCGGGCCUGCAGCCGAUACGGGCAGACUAGAGUUCGGCAGGGGAGACUGGAAUUCCUGGUGUAGCGGUGAAAUGCGCAGAUAUCAGGAGGAACACCGGUGGCGAAGGCGGUUCUCUGGGCCUUACCUGACACUGAGGAGCGAAAGCGUGGGGAGCGAACAGG